rnacentral:rRNA from 1 species
UUAAAAAGCUCGUAGUUGAAUUUCGGGGUNAGUAGGUCGGUCGUGCCACUGGUAUGAACUGGUUUUACUGAUUCCUCCCUCUUGAAGAACUGUAAUGCCAUUAAUUUGGUGUUGCAGGGAAUCAGGACUGUUACUUUGAAAAAAUUAGAGUGUUUAAAGCAGGCUUUAGCUUGAAUACAUUAGCAUGGAAUAAUGAAAUAGGACGUUUGAUCCUAUUUUGUUGGUUUCUAGGAUUGACGUAAUGAUUAAUAGGGAUAGUUGGGGG